rnacentral:rRNA from 1 species
UACAGAGGGGGCAAGCGUUGUUCGGAAUUACUGGGCGUAAAGGGCGCGUAGGCGGCCUGCUAAGUCGAACGUGAAAUCCCUGGGCUCAACCCAGGAACUGCGUCCGAUACUGGUUGGCUUGAAUCCGGGAGAGGGAAGUGGAAUUCCAGGUGUAGCGGUGAAAUGCGUAGAUAUCUGGAGGAACACCGGUGGCGAAGGCGACGUCCUGGACCGGUAUUGACGCUGAGGCGCGAAAGCCAGGGGAGCGAACAGG